rnacentral:lncRNA from 1 species
UGCUGCAAACAUUGGGAUCAGCCGUGACUAUCCCAUAACAUAAUAUUUCUGAUUUCAUUCUUUUCCUUUCUCCUACCAAUUUAAUCUGCAAUCACUUCAAGAGAAGUCUGUUUAAAGGAUAUUCACAUUCUGUUCACAGAGUUUGAGAGAAACUGUAUUCAAGUUGCUGAAACCAAGAAGCUACACUCACGAGUCUCACCUAAACUCGAAUCUGAUUUAGAUGACAUCAUCCUGGACUUUGAGUUGAUGAAACCUUGGAGGUCUUGGGAGUAAAGCAAGUGUGAUUUGCAUAUGAUGGAUAUGAAUUGUAAUGGCCAGAGCAUGGCUGUGAGAUGAAAACUCCCAUUUUAGGGAACCAAGACUGAAUUCCAUAAUUUACAUGGAUGUUUGGAAGGUGUCUGCAACUUAAUCUGUGUUCGUUUCUGAGAUGUUGGGCAACUCCUUCUUGGAAGAUGUGGUAAUGGUCUCUUCGAAAAGAAAAUAAUCAUCUGAGUUUUGGCCAAAAUAGUUGAUCGGAUUACCUAUGAAAAUGACUCUCACCCAACUACAAGAAGAUAUUAUAUGGAGAUGGUGUCAAACAACGGGAUGUGCUAUGGAAUUUGAUGUGGAGGCUGAAGGAAAGAGGAAUCUAGGCGGACUCACAGAUUUUUUGGCUUGAGUAACUUGGUGAGUAACUGAUAGUGCCACUUAAGA